UUUUGGCCUCCAGUGGUAUAGAUUAUGACAUUAAGCUGUGGAUGCCUCUAGAAGAAAAUCCCAAGUUUGAGGAGGAAGUAGCUGCUGAGAUCAUGAGGCGUAAUGAAGUGAUGCUGGAGGAGACAAGAGACACCAUUACCGUUCCUGCGGCUUUUAUGCUGCGUGUUUUGGCCUCCCUCAACCAGAUCAGAGCAGGUCGUGCAUCCUCCAGCAAUGAAGCUGUGGCCGAGAACGACAGCUCAUCAAGUGAUUCCGAGUGACUUUGACAAUUACUGAUUUUACUUUUUCCUCUCUUCUUUAUGACUCUCAACUGAAAAGAUGUCUUAUAAAAGACUCCAAGUAUGCUAAAAGCCGAAUAUAGUCAGCUUAAAAGUGAAGUGUGAUUCCGAAUUACAGAGGUUGAUUUGAUUGUUUUGAGUGUUAUUUUAAACUCUCACCUACAUUUAAGUUUCUGGCUUCAUAUAAAUACUUUACAGGUUAUAUGUAUAUGAUUACAUACUGUAUGUUGACAUUGUUGCUGAUUUUAUGCUUUGAAGCAAAUUAAAAUAAAUCAGAUCAGUAAAUUUAGCUUGUUCUAUAUAUUGUGUCUUUAUUAUUGGACAUUCUUCUUAAUGGUAGCUAAUCAACAAUGACAAUAAAUAAGGCAAUACAGAGUUCAAGCUACAUUUUUAAUGCAUUGUCAUAAAAUUUAAAAGAAACACAGCAUAGUUAAUUUGGAAAAAUUGAACAUUAUAUUUUCUCUAAGGAAGUGUUAAAGUAAUUUA